CGACUCUCGGCAACGGAUAUCUCGGCUCUCGCAUCGAUGAAGAACGUAGCGAAAUGCGAUACUUGGUGUGAAUUGCAGAAUCCCGUGAACCANCGAGUCUUUGAACGCAAGUUGCGCCCGAAGCCGUCCGGCCGAGGGCACGUCUGCCUGGGCGUCACG
rnacentral:rRNA from 1 species